UACAGGGGGGGCAAGCGUUGUUCGGAAUUACUGGGCGUAAAGAGCGCGCAGGCGGUCGUUCAAGUCGAGUGUGAAAGCCCCCGGCUCAACUGGGGAGGGUCAUUCGAUACUGAUCGACUCGAAGGCAGGAGAGGGAAGUGGAAUUCCCGGUGUAGUGGUGAAAUGCGUAGAUAUCGGGAGGAACACCAGUGGCGAAGGCGACUUCCUGGCCUGUUCUUGACGCUGAGGCGCGAAAGCUAGGGGAGCAAACGGG
rnacentral:rRNA from 1 species